GCGCGAUGAUGUCAAACAGAAUUUCUUCACCUGAAUCUCCGUGUGGAUCAAACCCAACGAGCUUUUUAACCCUGAGCGCG